GGAGGGGUGUUCCGAAUCGGCAAGGAGCCGCUCUCGAAAAGCGGUGGGUGAAAGCCCGUGCGAGUUCGAGUCUCGCCCCCUCCG
rnacentral:tRNA from 6 species